rnacentral:lncRNA from 1 species
GCAGGUCCACGAGAUCCAGUCUCACAUGGGACGCCUGGAGACGGCAGACAAGCAGUCUGUGCACUUAGUGGAAAAUGAAAUCCAAGCAAGCAUAGACCAGAUAUUCAGCCACCUGGAGCGUCUGGAGAUUCUGUCAAGCAAGGAGCCCCCCAAUAGAAGGCAGAACGCCAAACUUCGUGUCGACCAGCUAAAGUACGACGUCCAGCACUUGCAGACUGCCCUCAGGAACUUUCAGCACCGGCGCCAAGCCAAGGAGCAGCAGGAGAGACAGCGAGAUGAGCUUCUGUCUCGCACCUUCACCACUAACGGGACUCAGAAAAAGAUCCUCGACAUUGCCAACAUGCUCGGCUUGUCCAACACCGUGAUGAGGCUGAUUGAGAAGCGGGCCUUCCAGGACAAGUACUUCAUGAUCGGUGGGAUGCUGCUCACUUGUGCAGUUAUGUUUCUCGUGGUGCAGUACCUGACAUGAGCCAGCUGUACCCAGCACUGGACAGCCUUCCCAUUGUGUGCGCAUGUGCAAGCAAGAAGUGGGCUGGGAGGCCCUUUUGAAAUGUAUGCCUUAACUGUGAAGACACCUCUCCCUCCAGGACUAAUCGUGGCUUAGUAUCAAA